rnacentral:rRNA from 1 species
CGAUGAAGCCCUUCGGGGUGGAUUAGUGGCGAACGGGUGAGUAACACGUGGGCAAUCUGCCCUUCACUCUGGGACAAGCCCUGGAAACGGGGUCUAAUACCGGAUACGACGCGCUCGGGCAUCCGAUGUGCGUGGAAAGCUCCGGCGGUGAAGGAUGAGCCCGCGGCCUAUCAGCUUGUUGGUGAGGUAACGGCUCACCAAGGCGACGACGGGUAGCCGGCCUGAGAGGGCGACCGGCCACACUGGGACUGAGACACGGCCCAGACUCCUACGGGAGGCAGCAGUGGGGAAUAUUGCACAAUGGGCGAAAGCCUGAUGCAGCGACGCCGCGUGAGGGAUGACGGCCUUCGGGUUGUAAACCUCUUUCAGCAGGGAAGAAGCGAAAGUGACGGUACCUGCAGAAGAAGCGCCGGCUAACUACGUGCCAGCAGCCGCGGUAAUACGUAGGGCGCGAGCGUUGUCCGGAAUUAUUGGGCGUAAAGAGCUCGUAGGCGGUCUGUCGCGUCGGAUGUGAAAGCCCGGGGCUUAACCCCGGGUCUGCAUUCGAUACGGGCAGACUAGAGUGUGGUAGGGGAGAUCGGAAUUCCUGGUGUAGCGGUGAAAUGCGCAGAUAUCAGGAGGAACACCGGUGGCGAAGGCGGAUCUCUGGGCCAUUACUGACGCUGAGGAGCGAAAGCGUGGGGAGCGAACAGGAUUAGAUACCCUGGUAGUCCACGCCGUAAACGGUGGGAACUAGGUGUUGGCGACAUUCCACGUCGUCGGUGCCGCAGCUAACGCAUUAAGUUCCCCGCC